rnacentral:rRNA from 1 species
AGUGGCGGACGGGUGAGUAAUACAUAGAUAACCUGCCCUUAAGAUUGGGAUAACUAGCCGAAAGGUUAGCUAAUACCGAAUAAUGUUAUGUUCUUAGUUGAAUAUAAAGAAAGGGGCAACUCGUUUAAGGAAGGGUCUAUGGUCGAUUAGCUAGUUGGUGUGGUAACGGCAUACCAAGGCGACGAUCGAUAGCUGGUCUGAGAGGACGAUCAGCCACACUGGGACUGAGACACGGCCCAGACUUCUACGGAAGGCAGCAGUGGGGAAUUUUCCGCAAUGGGCGAAAGCCUGACGGAGCGACGCCGCGUGGGUGAAGAAGUCUUUCGGGAUGUAAAGCCCUGUCAGAGGGGAAGAAAAAAAUGACGGUACCCUCGGAGGAAGCAUCGGCUAACUACGUGCCAGCAGCCGCGGUAAUACGUAGAAUGCGAGCGUUGUUCGGAAUUACUGGGCGUAAAGAGUACGUAGGCGGUGAUGUAAGUCUGAUAUUAAAGACAGAAGCUCAACUUCUGGAAUGUAUCGGAGACUGCAUUGCUAGAGGGUAAUAGAGGAAGUUGGAAUUCUCAGUGUAGCGGUGAAAUGCGUAGAUAUUGGGAAGAACACCAGCGGCGAAAGCGGACUUCUGGGUUACUACUGACGCUGAGGUACGAAAGCGUGGGGAGCAAACGGGAUUAGAUACCCCGGUAGUCCACGCGGUAAACGAUGGAUACUAGG